UAAACUAGGGCCUUUGUUUACAGUUUGUUUAUUCCUCAGUUACUGGGAUUUGACAGGCGCAGUAGGGCAGGGACAGCUGGUAAUCGGCGUGCUGCAGAUGCCAGGGAUCGCAGCCAGUAGUAUCAGCUCCGAGAGGCCGCGCGUCCGCGGCUACGCCCGCUCCCCUCAGACGAGUCUAGACUGUGACAAUGCCAUUAAUGUUAUGUCGGUGGAGCGUUUGAGCCCGGCCGGGCUAAAAAAGAUUUGGUUGCAGGUGUUAAUGGACAUGCAGAGUGAACUGUGCCUUGCAGAGAUCAGCCAGGGUUAGCUAUACAAAAAUACAUACAGUCACGUGGAGGUCUUUUUCAUUAUUCUAACAUCUUGAAACCUGUGGAAAGCAACGAGGGGAUGCGGAACAUUACAGUCUAACAGUAUUGGUAUCUUAAUUUAUGCUAGAAAUCAUGGCACAUUGAAAAUUGAGGUUUCCUUAACAUAAACUACGAUCUACUGUAUGAACGUAAAUAACAAAGUCCAAACUAAAGAGCGUAACAAACAAAUCUCACUUUUGUGACAAGUAACUAAAUAUUCUAUGUUUAGAAUGGUACCUGAAUGCAUCGCUGUUCCUUAUCGUUGUAAAUGGGCUUGACGAGUGUCAGUCUUUUGUACCGAUUAGUGACGGUAAACAACUACGAACUAUCAAGUUUUAGAGGCGGGAACAGAGACGGAGUGACGACAUUCAGGACGAUGAGAAAACGGAAGACGACAGCGAGUGGGAAGAGUUAGCAAACAUAAGAGACGCGGGAGGGAUGGAGUAAUGGACGGCGAGAAGCCACGGGGACGGGCGAAAAUGCUCCGUGUCCUGGGCGACUCCGCUCUUCUGAGGGAUUACAAAGGGUUUAACUGGCGGAUGAAGCCGAGCAAAGUGAAAAUGACACUUUCCGCUGGGACGAGUGAGGUUUGGCCGAGCUUCAGACGCAGAUCGCAGCGAGCAGGUUGGCAGCAGCGAUCGGCCGGUUCACCAGCGCAGGGAACGCUGGGAGUCACGGGCUGUGAUUGGUGGCCCGAAACAGUCCAGGUGGAACCGGGCCGGCCGCUGCUUUUCACUUACUUACGAGCUCUGUUUCCACAAGCGUGAAGGGAGUGACAGGAAACAGGAAGCAAAUGAGCUAUAAUAUCCCUAAUGAAAACAUGCUCUACUGGAAUUCUGUUUUUUACAUUUUUAAUGUGCAUAUGCCCAUGAAUUUAGAUGGAUGAUGAUGAUGAUGAAGAAAAAAAUCAACAUCUUAGAAAAACGAAAUUUGUCAUUUGUCAAAAUGCACUGUAUGUUCUAUAAACAGUGCAUAUAGUAUUUACACACUAGCUAGUUUUCACACUUAUGACAUGAAAUCAGGUCUACAGACUAGAAGAAAACAUUAUAACUUGUUUCCUUUACAGAUAACAAAUCUUUCUCUCCUAUUACCGGUCCAUAUUUGUCUGCUCAUGGCAGGUUCAGAAAUAAAAGGUGUGGGAGGUUUGUGUUGUAUCUGAAG
rnacentral:lncRNA from 1 species